GAUGAACGCUGGCGGCGUGCCUAAUACAUGCAAGUCGAGCGAACAGACGAGGAGCUUGCUCCUCUGACGUUAGCGGCGGACGGGUGAGUAACACGUGGAUAACCUACCUAUAAGACUGGGAUAACUUCGGGGAAACCGGAGCUAAUACCGGAUAAUAUAUUGAACCGCAUGGUUCAAUAGUGAAAGACGGUUUUGCUGUCACUUAUAGAUGGAUCCGCGCCGCAUUAGCUAGUUGGUAAGGUAACGGCUUACCAAGGCAACGAUGCGUAGCCGACCUGAGAGGGUGAUCGGCCACACUGGAACUGAGACACGGUCCAGACUCCUACGGGGGGCAGCAGUAGGGAAUCUUCCGCAAUGGGCGAAAGCCUGACGGAGCAACGCCGCGUGAGUGAUGAAGGUCUUCGGAUCGUAAAACUCUGUUAUUAGGGAAGAACAAAUGUGUAAGUAACUAUGCACGUCUUGACGGUACCUAAUCAGAAAGCCACGGCUAACUACG
rnacentral:rRNA from 1 species